CCUACGGGCGGCAGCAGUGAGGAAUAUUGGUCAAUGGGCGGGAGCCUGAACCAGCCAAGUCGCGUGAGGGAUGACGGCCCUAUGGGUUGUAAACCUCUUUUGCCGGGGAGCAAAGUGCCGCACGUGUGCGGUUUGGAGAGUACCCGGAGAAAAAGCAUCGGCUAACUCCGUGCCAGCAGCCGCGGUAAUACGGAGGAUGCGAGCGUUAUCCGGAUUUAUUGGGUUUAAAGGGAGCGUAGGUGGAUUGUUAAGUCAGUUGUGAAAGUUUGCGGCUCAACCGUAAAAUUGCAGUUGAAACUGGCAGUCUUGAGUACAGUAGAGGUGGGCGGAAUUCGUGGUGUAGCGGUGAAAUGCUUAGAUAUCACGAAGAACUCCGAUUGCGAAGGCAGUUCACUGGACUGCAACUGACACUGAGGCUCGAAAGUGUGGGUAUCAAACAGGAUUAGAUACCCCGGUAGUC
rnacentral:rRNA from 1 species